AUGAACGCUGGCGACGUGGAUAAGGCAUGCAAGUCAAGGGGGUCCCGCAGCAAUGCGGGAUAACCGGCAGACGAGGUAGUAAUACGUAGGUACGAACCUUUUAGUUGGGUAUAGCUCGUCGAAAGACGGGGUAAUCCCCAAUAGUCCCUUCGGGGUAAAGUCGUAAGACGCUAAGAGAUCGGCCUGCGGGGUAUCAGCUAGUUGGUGGGGUAAUGGCCCACCAAGGCAAUGACGCCUAGGGGAGGUGAGAGCCUGACCCCCACCGAUGGUACUGGGACACGGACCCUACACCUACGGGUGGCUGCCGUCGGGAAUCUUCCGCAAUGGGCGAAAGCCUGACGGAGCGACGUCGCGUGAUUGAUGAAGUCCCUCUGGGAUGUAAAGAUCUUUUAUAGAGGAGAAAAUCCGGAUUUAUUCGGAUGUGCUAGUACUCUAGGAAU
rnacentral:rRNA from 1 species